UACGUAGGGUGCGAGCGUUAAUCGGAAUUACUGGGCGUAAAGCGUGCGCAGGCGGUUCGUUAUGUCUGAUGUGAAAGCCCCGAGCUUAACUUGGGAAUGGCAUUGGAAACUGGCGGGCUGGAGUGCGGCAGAGGGGGGUGGAAUUCCACGUGUAGCAGUGAAAUGCGUAGAGAUGUGGAGGAACACCGAUGGCGAAGGCAGGUCUCUGGGCCACUACUGACGCUGAGAAGCGAAAGCAUGGGGAGCGAACAGG
rnacentral:rRNA from 1 species